rnacentral:rRNA from 1 species
UGAUUAAUUUAAUGGCCGCGGUAUUUUGACCGUGCAAAGGUAGCAUAAUCAUUAGUCUUUUAAUUGGGGACUCGUAUGAAUGGUUGGACGAAAUAUUGACUGUCUUAUAUUUAAUAUUAUAAUUUUAAUUUUGAGUUAAAAUGCUUAAAUUUUUUUAAAGGACGAGAAGACCCUAUAGAUCUUUAUUAUUAGUUAUAUUAUUAUUUUUGGUUUAAAUGUUUAUGUUAAUAUUUUUAAUUAUUUAGUUGGGGUGAUUUUGGGAUAUAUUUAACUCUUUAUAAUUUUUUUACAUUGAUUUUUGAUUGUUUGACCUUUUAUUAUUGUUUAUAAGAUUUAGAUACCUUAGGGAUAACAGCGUAAUUUUAUUUAAGAGUUCAUAUCGACAAUAGAUUUUGCGACCUCGAUGUUGGAUUAAGAUUAUAAUUAGGUGUAGGUGCUUGAUUGUUAGGUCUGUUCGACCUUUAAAUUCUUACAUGAUCUGAGUA